GACGAACGCUGGCGGCGUGCUUAACACAUGCAAGUCGAGCGGGAAACUUCGGUUUCCAGCGGCGGACGGGUGAGUAACACGUGGGCAACCUGCCUCACAAUGAGGGAUAGCCUUCCGAAAGGAAGAUUAAUACCUCAUAACACAAGAGAAACGCAUGUUUCUCUUGCCAAAGAAUUUCGUUGUGAGAUGGGCCCGCGGCGCAUUAGCUUGUUGGUGAGGUAACGGCUCACCAAGGCUUCGAUGCGUAGCCGACCUGAGAGGGUGAUCGGCCACAUUGGAACUGAGACACGGUCCAGACUCCUGCGGGAGGCAGCAGUGGGGAAUAUUGCACAAUGGAGGAAACUCUAAUGCAGCAACGCCGCGUGAGUGAUGAAGGUCUUCGGAUUGUAAAGCUCUGUCUUCUGGGACGAUAAUGACGGUACCAGAGGAGGAAGCCGCGGCUAACUACGUGCCAGCCGCCGCCGUAA
rnacentral:rRNA from 1 species